CUGUUGCUUGCAACAGCGAAUUGUAGUCUCGAGAAGCGUCGUCUCGGCGGAUCUUCCCUGCCAAAGUUGCUUGGAACAGCACAUCGGAGAGGGUGACAAUCCCGUUCGUGGCAGGGCAGGCCGUCCAUGAUACGCUUUCAAUGAGUCGGGUUGCUUGGGAAUGCAGCCCAAAAUUGGUGGUAAACUCCAUCUAAAGCUAAAUAUUGGCACGAGACCGAUAGCGAACAAGUACCGUGAGGGAAAGAUGAAAAGAACUUUGAAAAGAGAGUUAAAAAGUGCGUGAAACCGUUAGAGGGGAAACGGAUGCAGUUAGCAAUGCUUCUGCGAGAUUCAGGCGGUCACUUGGCAAGACGUGUGUGUAGCGGAUCUGAAUGGACCGUUUAUGCACGGCCAGGUCUUGUGUCCGUCGCACUUCUCGUGGGAGUGCGUCAACAGCUGCUAGUCACGCACUAUACGGCUCCGUGGAAGGUAGGUAGUCGGUUCGCCGAGUGCUGUUAUAGCCACGGAUGUCCCAGUGCGAGAUCUGGCAGAGGUGAGCGGUGCAUGCUCUCUCUAAGAGGGCUGGCGUCCUGUUACGUUCUCGUAGUCGAUCGGUUCGCACUGCGUGCAGUGCGAGUUGGCAGGCGAAAAGGCGUGCAGUCAACGUACACGAUGCACCAUGGUUGUUGGCGGCAAUAUGGCUUUAUCCGACCCGUCUUGAAACACGGACCAAGGAGUCUAACAUGUGCGCAAGUCUUGGGGUGACCGAAACCCAAAGGCGCAAUGAAAGUAAAGGCUGCUUGCAACUGAGGUGAGAUCUUUGCUCUCCCGAGUGAGGCGCAUCAUCGACCGACCUAUUCUACUCUUAGAAAGGUUUGAGUAAGAGCGUACAUGCUGGGACCCGAAAGAUGGUGAACUAUGCUUGAGUAGGGUGAAGCCAGAGGAAACUCUGGUGGAAGCUCGUAGCGAUUCUGACGUGCAAAUCGAUCGUCGAACUUGAGUAUAGGGGCGAAAGACUAAUCGAACCAUCUA
rnacentral:rRNA from 1 species